AGCAGCAGCCGCGGGAAUACAGAGGGUGCGAGCGUUAAUCGGAUUUACUUGGCGUAAAGCGUGCGUAGGCGGCUAAUUGAGUCGGAUGUGAAAUCCCCGAGCUUAACUUGGGAAUUGCAUUCGAUACUGGUUAGCUAGAGUGUGGGAUAGGAUGGUAGAAUUCCAGGUGUAGCGGUGAAAUGCGUAGAGAUCUGGAGGAAUACCGAUGGCGAAGGCAGCCAUCUGGCCUAACACUGACGCUGAGGUACGAAAGCAUGGGGAGCAAACAGGAUUAGAUACCCGGGUAGUCCCUGUCUCUUAUAC
rnacentral:rRNA from 1 species